CUUGUCGUCAAAAGCAAAGGAGACUCUAAUGUGGAGUGCAGAACUCCAAUGUGGAUUAAUAUUUUAAUUAGUGUUAUUGUAGAGAGAAAUUGAUCUUACAGAGACCAAAAUCUGUCCAUUCCAAAAGACACCAAAAUUGCUGAGCAGUCGGAUUGCACGACCAUUUUAUACAAACUGGAGCAGAGAGAAAUCUGGAUGAACAUCAUGGGGCAGGACCCUCACCACCAAGAAGAUCAGAAGAAAAGUAUCAGCAGGAUGCCAAUUGGGAUCUGUGGAGUGGUGAUAUUUUCCAUUUUCCAAUCUGUCUACCCCACUCCUCUUUUUCUCUUCCUUUCUAUCUCUUUGUCUCUCUACCUCACAUUUACUGUUAAA